GAUGAACGCUGGCGGCGUGCCUAAUACAUGCAAGUCGAGCGAACAGACGAGGAGCUUGCCCCUUCGACGUUAGCGGCGGACGGGUGAGUAACACGUAGGUCACCUACCUAUAAGACUGGGAUAACUUCGGGAAACCGGAUCUAAUACCAGAUCAUAUUUCGAACCGCAUGGUUCGAUAGUGAAAGAUGGCUUUGCUAUCACUUAUAGAUGGUCCUGCGUCGUAUUAGCUAGUUGGUAAGGUAACGGCUUACCAAGGCAACGAUACGUAGCCGACCUGAGAGGGUGAUCGGCCACACUGGAACUGAGACACGGUCCAGACUCCUACGGGAGGCAGCAGUAGGGAAUCUUCGGCAAUGGGCGAAAGCCUGACGGAGCAACGCCGCGUGGGUGAUGAAGGUCUUCGGAUCGUAAAACUCUGUUAUUAGGGAGGAACAAACGUGUAAGUAACUGUGCACGUCUUGACGGUACCUAAUCAGAAAGCCACGGCUAACUACGUG
rnacentral:rRNA from 1 species